rnacentral:rRNA from 1 species
UUUAUUGGAGAGUUUGAUCCUGGCUCAGGAUGAACGCUGGCGGCGUGCCUAAUACAUGCAAGUCGAGCGAAUGGAUUAAGAGCUUGCUCUUAUGAAGUUAGCGGCGGACGGGUGAGUAACACGUGGGUAACCUGCCCAUAAGACUGGGAUAACUCCGGGAAACCGGGGCUAAUACCGGAUAACAUUUUGAACUGCAUGGUUCGAAAUUGAAAGGCGGCUUCGGCUGUCACUUAUGGAUGGACCCGCGUCGCAUUAGCUAGUUGGUGAGGUAACGGCUCACCAAGGCAA